rnacentral:tRNA from 1 species
GCCAGUGUGGCUCAGUGGAUAGAGCAUCAGCCCGGGGGACUGAAGGGUCCCGGGUUCGAUUCCGGCCAAGGGUA